UUGCUUUGGCAGCACAUAUACUAAAAUUGGAACAAUACCGAGAUUAGCAUGACCCCUGCGCAAGGAUGACACGCAAAUUCGUGAAGCAUUCCAUAUUCUU
rnacentral:snRNA from 1 species